UCGAGUAAGGGUGUCGAACUUUACGCGCCCGACCUCCAACCCUUUGUCUACCACACCUCGCGUUGCUUCGGCAGGCCCGCCGGGGCCCGUCAGGGUCUCUUCCUGACGGUGCCCCAGCCGCCGGGGGUCCCUCGUGACCCCGGGCCCGCGCCUGUCGACGGCCCCCUACAAAACUCUUGUCGAAACGUGUCGUCUGAGUUACUUAAACACAAUCAAAACA
rnacentral:misc_RNA from 1 species